ACUCCUACGGGAGGCAGCAGUGGGGAAUAUUGCACAAUGGGGGAAACCCUGAUGCAGCCAUGCCGCGUGUGUGAAGAAGGCCUUCGGGUUGUAAAGCACUUUCAGUAGGGAGGAAGGUAGUGUAGUUAACACCUGCACUAUUUGACGUUACCUACAGAAGAAGCACCGGCUAACUCCGUGCCAGCAGCCGCGGUAAUACGGAGGGUGCGAGCGUUAAUCGGAAUUACUGGGCGUAAAGCGCAUGCAGGCGGCCUGUUAAGUCAGAUGUGAAAGCCCGGGGCUUAACCUCGGAAUUGCAUUUGAAACUGGCAGGCUAGAGUCUUGUAGAGGGGGGUAGAAUUUCAGGUGUAGCGGUGAAAUGCGUAGAGAUCUGAAGGAAUACCAAGUGGCGAAGGCGGCCCCCUAGGACAAAGACUGACGCUCAGAUGCGAAAGCGUGGGGAGCAAACAGGAUUAGACACCCUGGUGGCACAGAG
rnacentral:rRNA from 1 species